rnacentral:rRNA from 1 species
UACGGGGGGGGUAAGCGUUGUUCGGAAUUACUGGGCGUAAAGGGCUCGUAGGCGGCCAACUAAGUCAGACGUGAAAUCCCUCGGCUUAACCGGGGAACUGCGUCUGAUACUGGAUGGCUUGAGUUUGGGAGAGGGAUGCGGAAUUCCAGGUGUAGCGGUGAAAUGCGUAGAUAUCUGGAGGAACACCGGUGGCGAAGGCGGCAUCCUGGACCAACACUGACGCUGAGUGAGCGAAAGCCAGGGGAGCAAAACGGG